rnacentral:rRNA from 1 species
UACGUAGGGAGCAAGCGUUGUCCGGAAUCAUUGGGCGUAAAGCGCGCGUAGGUGGCCUCAUAAGUCCGCUGUGAAAGUCAAAGGCUCAACCUUUGAAAGCCGGUGGAUACUGUGGGGCUAGAGUACGGAAGAGGCGAGUGGAAUUCCUGGUGUAGCGGUGGAAUGCGCAGAUAUCAGGAGGAACACCAAUAGCGAAGGCAGCUCGCUGGGACGUGACUGACACUGAGGCGCGAAAGCGUGGGGAGCGAACAGG